GCGCCCAUAGCUCAAUGGCAGAGCUGCUCCCUCUUAAGGAGAAGGUUGCAGGUUCGAGUCCUGCUGGGCGCA
rnacentral:tRNA from 1 species